rnacentral:ncRNA from 1 species
UAGUAUAGAGGAUGGAACGGGCAGCCAUCGCCUUUGUGGAGAUGAGGAUUGUCACCCUCCUAUACUU